rnacentral:sRNA from 1 species
GUAAGGAGGUCUCUUGUACGAGAGGUCCCCGGUUCGAUUCCCGGUACUCCCACGUGAGGGCAAUA